rnacentral:rRNA from 1 species
GCGGACGGCUCAGUAACACGUCGAUAACCUACCCUCGGGAAAGGGAUAACCCCGGGAAACUGGGGCUAAUCCCCCAUAGGUGUGGGGUACUGGAAGGUCCCCACACCGAAAGGGGCUUCGUGCCCGCCCGAGGAUGGGCCGGCGGCCGAUUAGGUAGUUGGUGGGGUAACGGCCCACCAAGCCGAAGAUCGGUACGGGCCAUGAGAGUGGGAGCCCGGAGAUGGACACUGAGACACGGGUCCAGGCCCUACGGGGCGCAGCAGGCGCGAAACCUCCGCAAUGCGGGAAACCGCGACGGGGGGACCCCCAGUGCCGUGGCAACGCCACGGCUUUUCCGGAGUGUAAAAAGCUCCGGGAAUAAGGGCUGGGCAAGGCCGGUGGCAGCCGCCGCGGUAAUACCGGCGGCCCGAGUGGUGGCCGCUAUUAUUGGGCCUAAAGCGUCCGUAGCCGGGCCCGUAAGUCCCUGGCGAAAUCCCACGGCUCAACCGUGGGGCUUGUUGGGGAUACUGCGGGCCUUGGGACCGGGAGAGGCGGGGGGUACCCCUGGGGUAGGGGUGAAAUCCUAUAAUCCCAGGGGGACCGCCAGUGGCGAAGGCGCCCCGCUGGAACGUGUCCGACGGUGAGGGACGAAGGCCAGGGGAGCGAACCGGAUUAGAUACCCGGGUAGUCCUGGCUGUAAAGGAUGCGGGCUAGGUGUCGGGCGAGCUCCGAGCUCGCCCGGUGCCGUAGGGAAGCCGUUAAGCCCGCCGCCUGGGGAGUACGGCCGCAAGGCUGAAACUUAAAGGAAUUGGCGGGGGAGCACUACAAGGGGUGGAGCGUGCGGUUUAAUUGGAUUCAACGCCGGGAACCUCACCGGGGGCGACGGCAGGAUGAAGGCCAGGCUGAAGGUCUUGCCGGACACGCCGAGAGGAGGUGCAUGGCCGCCGUCAGCUCGUACCGUGAGGCGUCCACUUAAGUGUGGUAACGAGCGAGACCCGCGCCCCCAGUUGCCAGUCCCUCCCGUAGGGAGGGAGGCACUCUGGGGGGACCGCCGGCGAUAAGCCGGAGGAAGGAGCGGGCGACGGUAGGUCAGUAUGCCCCGAAACCCCCGGGCUACACGCGCGCUACAAUGGGCGGGACAAUGGGAUCCGACCCCGAAAGGGGAAGGGAAUCCCCUAAACCCGCCCUCAGUUCGGAUCGCGGGCUGCAACUCGCCCGCGUGAAGCUGGAAUCCCUAGUACCCGCGUGUCAUCAUCGCGCGGCGAAUACGUCCCUGCUCCUUGCACACACCGCCCGUCACUCCACCCGAGCGGGGUCCGGAUGAGGCCCCGUCGCCGGCUCUGGCCGGAUGGCGGGGUCGAGUCCGGGCUCCGUGAGGGGGGAGAAGUCGUAACAAGGUAGCCGUAGGGGAACCUACGGCUCGAUCACCUCCU